GGCUGCAUUAUACAGAAUAACAAAAGUGCACUGGUUGCGCCCUGCGCGUUUUAUCAUUUCCAGGUUUUUUUUCGGGGGUAAUUCGAAUUGACAAAAAAACGCGUCGUGGGUGGCUCAGCUGCUUGCGCCGCGCGCAAUGUUAUUUCUGGGUUUUUUCGGGGGGUGUUUGAAUAGACAAUAACAAAACGCGUCAUGCGUGGGUCAGCUGCUUACGCCUUUUUUUUUUCGGCAAAGUGGGAAUUCACAAAGUGCAUCGUGAGUCAGCUGGUCUGGCCGCAGGCAGUAUGUUAUUUGCGGGCUUUGUCGGCGGCGUUCGAGUACCGAAGAUAAACAAAUCUGGAAAUUUUCAUUCGAAAACCGAUUUGGUCGAAAACAGGGACGUUCGAGACCCGAGGCUUUACUGUACUCUGAAACAAGUGGCCUAUGUGACAAUUCGACUAAAAUAUUGAUUUUUUUUUUUUCACGCUAGCGGCUAUCAAUUUAGACAAACAAGAAACUUAUUCGGAUGUAAUGCUUAAAACAUGGCUGUUCCCGAUAAUGCACUCGGGUUUGGGCAUGCGUCGAUGCCUCCAGCGUGUAGAAGAAGACUGCGCUAGUUUUUGGCGCUUGAAGCAAAACCCAGCACGACAUGCACAAAUGCAACAUAUUUUAUUUUAUUUUUCAUAUCCUCAUCAUGGAAAGUUCCAGAAAAACAACAUAUGUUGCAGCUUUUAAGUUGAAAGCAUUGAUCUGUCCAUCCAGGAGGGGACUCAAGCUUCUGCGCGGACGUUUGGCGUGAACAAAUCUAUGGACUGGGUGAACGUCAUCAGCGUGAGCCGUGCUUUUAAAGCGGCACUCCGAGGUGAGUGGGAGGCUUGGAUGAGCAGCGGCGAGAACUCUUUCACAAAAACUGGUCGCGUGCGAAAAUCAUCAGUUGAUCGGGAAUUAUGGAGCAAUCCGAAAGGAUCUCCCAUCACCAACGGAUUUCGAAAGGCUGGACUGCUACGUGAGGAGUACAGGACGACUUCAGCGGUAACUGCAUCUCGAGGUGAUCAUGACAUCGAGAGCGACAGAGACAGAAAUGGUGUGUGAUGGAGACGUUCUGAGACUCUUCAACUCUAACACUCAAGUCGAUGACUUGAGUGGUUUCAGUGAACAGGAGGAGGAACGAGAAGACUUUUCUGUUAUGUUUGAGCCGUUUUACUUCCAUGUUACAGUCGCUGUUUGGGAAAAAAGGGCCUUUUCCUUUUCAUGUAAAAUCCCACUCAAGCCCCAACUCUUUGGGGACUAUGUUGCCUUUGUCGGAAAGAACCGUCUAACUCCAAUGACUUGAAACGACAUGUUUUGGAGGCUGCAGGCUAAUCAGUAAACACUUGAAAGUGUCGUCCCUUUCUAGCAAUCCUUCCCCGCCUAACAUGUUUGAUUGCCGACUGUCCCCCCGCCAUGUGAUUUAGAAGCUCAUUGGUGAGUCGUAUUUGAGUAAAUUCUUGCCAUCGUGUUUUAUUUAGCUCUCAUUUUGGGAUGCUGGUUGAUGUCUUGCGUGUCAAAAAAAGGCUCAUAUGUUCCAACAAAUGGAAGUGUGUAUUUUUUUCAACUCUUAUUUUAUUAUUUAAACUUUAUGCAUACAGCUAAGACAAUUGAAAACAUAGUGAAACAAAAACAAACAAAAAAUGAAAAAUAAAAAUAACAAAUACAUGCAUAAACAGUACAAGAAACUGUACUAUGUGAUGUAGUUAAAUAUUUACAUACAUAGAAUAUAAUGAAUCAAAGGUUCAUAGGCUAAAAAAAAAAAAUCAUGUACAGUAUCCCUCAAUAACUUCUUAAAUGAUAUUGGGUUGAAUGAGAUGAGUUUCACGAUUUGUCCUAGACUGUUCCAGUCAUUUUGGGAGGGGGGGGAUGAA